rnacentral:tRNA from 1 species
CUAACAGUAGCUUAAGUUAGAGUAUUGGAUUCUUAAUCCAGGUGUGUCAAGUGGUAUAGUGACCUGUUAGG